GACAGAGGGUGCAAACGUUGCUCGGAAUCACUGGGCGUAAAGGGCGUGUAGGCGGGCAUGCAAGUCAGGCGUGAAAUCCCUGGGCUCAACCCAGGAAUUGCACUUGAAACUGCAUGUCUUGAGUAUCGGAGAGGAAAGCGGAAUUCCUGGUGUAGAGGUGAAAUCCGUAGAUAUCAGGAGGAACACCGGUGGCGAAGGCGGCUUUCUGGACGAUAACUGACGCUGAGACGCGAAAGCGUGGGUAGCAAACAGG
rnacentral:rRNA from 1 species